CACCGCCGCGGUAAUACAGAGGGUGCGAGCGUUAAUCGGAUUUACUGGGCGUAAAGCGUGCGUAGGCGGCUUCUUAAGUCGGAUGUGAAAUCCCUGAGCUUAACUUAGGAAUUGCAUUCGAUACUGGGAAGCUAGAGUAUGGGAGAGGAUGGUAGAAUUCCAGGUGUAGCGGUGAAAUGCGUAGAGAUCUGGAGGAAUACCGAUGGCGAAGGCAGCCAUCUGGCCUAAUACUGACGCUGAGGUACGAAAGCAUGGGGAGCAAACAGGAUUAGAUACCCCCGUAGUCCCUGUCUCUUAUACA
rnacentral:rRNA from 1 species